AGGGGGGUGGGAUCCGCCACACGCGGCGCAGCAGUUUCCAUGCGCGGCGGAGGAGGAGGAGGAGCCCGCCUCCAUUCGCUACGUGCAGAGUCGCGAGUCCGCACCAGCAGCCGGCGGAGGCGAGGAGAGAGGGAGUCUGUCCGUCUCCCAGAGCACUUCAAUAUGGAAAACUUUAUGGAAGUACAGCAUUUAUGGAAGCCUCCUUAGGAAACCAAAGGGAUGUGUAUGUUGGACCUUAGUCUUCUACCAUAACUUUCCUCAUUCACCUACAUGAAUAUUUUCUUUAUUAACAGAAUGGAGAGCCAAGGAAGAUGGAUACUUAAGAGCUUGUUCCAAGUCACACAAAAGGUCUGGAGCAAAAGUUAGUCUUGAAUUCAAUGGACUCCAGUGUAAGCCAAGUUGAUGCUCUGAUUUCAUUUUCUCUUUUCAAGCUGUUCCCUUGUACACCAAGACACUGGAAUAUAACUGAAUCCCAUCCACCCACAUGUGAAGGUAUAAAGACACAGGUCUGAACUUUAUCUCCGGAGUGUCCCCUCCGGAAUUAUUGCUUCUUGCAUAGAAGUAGUUCCCCCUUCCUCCAGUAAAUUCCUUGUAGAAGUAUUAGAAAUUUUACAUUCCUUUGGGGCAAUGAGUUCCCCCAAUAUGACCAGGACCAAAACCCCAUCUGUGAAGACAAAAGCAAGAAGAAAUACAACUCUUUGUAUUGUGGUGAAUGAUUAAACACUGCUGUAAAAGCCUGAAAACUGACACUAAACUCUGUAUAGCUAUCUACCCUAGAACCACUGACUUGAUAUCUGAAGAAGAAGGCAAAUAAAGGAAGGAAAUGCCACAAA